rnacentral:lncRNA from 1 species
AAGGAAGGAAGGAAGGAAGGAAGGAAGGAAGGACGGAAGGAAGGAUGGAAGGAAGGAAGGAAGAAAAAGACAAUUCUAUUAUACUUUCUGAAAGGACUCAUUAGACUACAAGAGGAAGUGUGCAGAGGAUAAUUGCAUAAGAACAAGCCAAAUACUGCAAUAUUACUGUAGGUCAGAAGAAGAAGGCUAUGAAAUGUGGGCACCUACACACAUCACGGCUACUAAGGAGAAAGGAAAGGUACAUGGUAUUCUCUAGAACAGGAGAUUUAUACACAACUAUUCACUGUUUUGAAAGCAUAUUAUUGAACACAAAUGUAAUUCAGAGACUGUAAAGGCCCUAACACAAGCAAUAUUAUCAUUCACUUGUGACUGGAGAAUUUUUGGAUCUUCAAACCUAGCAACUUACCGAAAGAAAAAGCUAGUCCAUUAAAUGGAAACCAGGAACAAAGGAUAAUCUUAAUGCGCUAUCUGAUUGGCAGCAGGAUGUAUGGCCGAACCUUCUGGAGCAUGUCAAAGUUGUGCCAGCAGAUUAGGGAGUAAGAAAGUUUUCUUUAUUCCCAACCAUAAUCUUGCAACAUGCGUGGACUGCUUAGACCUCAAGCCCCAGCUACUUCUGAUGACAGAAAGCUGCACUCCAAUGACAGCAGGAACACCAGCAAGCCAUCCUUGCUAGCACUGCAAGCACAGGAUGAAGCAUCGCUCUGAGAGCCUUGGAUGAAGAGUGGGGUGUUGAGAGCUCUGCUCCCAGGUCUGUCAAGUAUUGACUGGGAUAAACCAACAAGGCCACUUUUAGAGGACUGGAGCCAAAACAACCAGCCAAAGUGUCAGGGGGGAAAAAUCGAUUUGCAAAUGACAGUUUCCAGUGGUAGAGAAAUAGACAGUUCUCAGUGAUUAAAAGCUGGAAAUGAUGUUUCAAGCCAAAGGAACAAGAAGAGUGCUUUGUUUACUUCUUUAUGGUACAAGUUUCUCUUUAUACCGCUUUGGAAAUGGGUAUUUUACAACAUUUAAGCCACAAUCAAAGUUCACUAAAAUCAAAAUAAUCUCAGGCCAGAUUAGUGAAUUUCUGGCUUGACGAAGCAUGUCAGUACAGAAACACUGACUGCUUAAUGUCAUGACCUUUCCCCUAAGCUGUUUGUCUUUGGUUCCUGAGCUGCACUUCUUUCUUUUUGCCUUUGAGCCCAUGGCCUAGCACCAUGCCCGUGCCCCACCAUGGAGCACAGGCCAAGGUCACGUUUCUGCAGAGGUCACAGGCCCACCAGAAUUCACAUUUCUUUGUAGUCACAUGUCAUUUCUCUCCUGUCAUGGAAAAAUUAAUUAGCUUUCCUUGUAUACCCCCAUACUGAGAAUGGAGUUCUUCAUUUCCUUUGAGAGGAAGGGUGCUGCUUCCUUUCUUUACUGGGUGAACAUCAGCAAAUGAAAAUCAUUACUGGACUCACUCAAUGUAUUUGUCAGGAGAUAUUUUAGGUGAAGGGAAAUUUCUUUCACAGGACAUUGCCUCACAAAUGCUCAAUCUGAAGUUCAGAGGAAAAAUGAAGUGAAAAUGUUGGCUUUCACCAGCUGAGAUAGGAGCCUUUUUAAGGCCAGAUUCUGUAAGUAGCAGGGCAAUUUCCAUCACAUGAGCAGUUCCAUCUAUUUUUGCACAAAUGUCAUUAUGCAGAAACACACAGAUCAAGGAUGAAGCUUUCGCUACUGCUUUCCACCAAAGCCAUUAUCCAGACUUCUUUCCCUUUCUCUUGGAACUUAUGUUCAUACCAAACCUGACAUCUUCCAUUACCAUCUCAACAUCCUACUUGGAUGAAUUUUGAUGUGAAAAUCCUGAUUGUUCCCAACUCUAGCCAUUAUUCCACUUAGCUGAAGUACUCAGCUUCAUGAAAAUGACAAGGGGGAUGUUGCUACACACAGGCUGUUCAUUAAUCAACACUAUAUAUUUAAUUUUUAUUUUUAUGGUGUGACAAUGUGACUACAUCCACUCUAUAGUAUUAGUGAAUAAUUAGCAGAGAAAGUUUCUGUGACUCAGGAACUUCCUCCUCCUUUACUGGAACAAUGUGAGAAUCUCUGAAUCUAAGCAUGUGGAGAUGGACAUCAGAAGUUGCUAGCAAUGUGUCCUUGGCAUAAAUAUCAAAAUGAUCAAGAAUUCAUCCUAUGCCUCUUUGACUAGCUGUCUUCUUUAUUUCCUGUGAGAUGGUCUUUACUAGAGUAGUGUAACGAAUAAUAAAGACAAAUUUACAUCACUGAAGAGCA